CCUACGGGAGGCAGCAGUGGGGAAUUUUGGACAAUGGGCGAAAGCCUGAUCCAGCAAUGCCGCGUGAGUGAAGAAGGCCUUCGGGUUGUAAAGCUCUUUUGUCAGGGAAGAAACGGUGAGGGCUAAUAUCCCUUGCUAAUGACGGUACCUGAAGAAUAAGCACCGGCUAACUACGUGCCAGCAGCCGCGGUAAUACGUAGGGUGCAAGCGUUAAUCGGAAUUACUGGGCGUAAAGCGUGCGCAGGCGGUUUUGUAAGUCUGUCGUGAAAUCCCCGGGCUCAACCUGGGAAUUGCGAUGGAGACUGCAAGGCUAGAAUCUGGCAGAGGGGGGUAGAAUUCCACGUGUAGCAGUGAAAUGCGUAGAGAUGUGGAGGAACACCGAUGGCGAAGGCAGCCCCCUGGGUCAAGAUUGACGCUCAUGCACGAAAGCGUGGGGAGCAAACAGGAUUAGAUACCCUGGUAGUCCACGCCCUAAACGAUGUCUACUAGUUGUCGGGUUUUAAUUAACUUGGUAACGCAGCUAACGCGUGAAGUAGACCGCCUGGGGAGUACGGUCGCAAAGNUUAAAACNCGAAAGAUUGACGNNGAGAGNGCGAGACGACGACGAGGGAGGAGG
rnacentral:rRNA from 1 species